UACGGAGGAUCCGAGCGUUAUCCGGAAUUAUUGGGUUUAAAGGGUGCGUAGGCGGCCAUUUAAGUCAGCGGUGAAAUUUUGCAGCUUAACUGUAACAGUGCCGUUGAUACUGUUGGCUAGGAUUUGGUUGUAGUGUGCGGAAUGUGUGGUGUAGCGGUGAAAUGCUUAGAUAUCACACAGAACACCGAUUGCGAAGGCAGCACACUAAGUCAUUAUUGACGCUGAGGCACGAAAGUGUGGGGAUCAAACAGGAUUAGA
rnacentral:rRNA from 1 species